rnacentral:lncRNA from 1 species
CAAAUAGGAAGAAAACAUCCUGACAGCUCGCUUUUUAUUUAACUCUUUUACUAUGAAAAUGCAAUUUCAUAUCCUUCUCAUAUUUCAGCUGUUCUAAAACGAAAGGAGAAAUGGAAAAAUUAUUGAAGAGAAUCCUCUCAGAAUCUACAAGUUAAGCUUAAAUAUAAUUGGCACUCAUAAACUAGCAUCUUAUUUUUUACCUGGAUUUUGUUAAUUGGAAAUUUGAAAGGAUUUUAAUGGCGUCUAGAUUUAUUUAUGCAGAUUAUCUCAAUCCAUUUCAUGCAUAUGAUGAGGGAAACCUUUCUUGGCUGGUAAUUGGUGAAUGAUUCUUCUCCUGUAAACUUAAUUUAUCUGCUUUGAUAUACUCCUGUCUAUCUCAAAUCAGUCAACAGCUUCUUUUAUUCUUCUCUUUUUUCGAUUGAUAAUGCCUAAUGGGAUUGGGGUCAAGAAGGUCAAGAAUAUCAUUAUUUUACUUGUACUUUUGUAAUACUUCAGAGUCACUGAUGCAGUACCGAUAGGAUGAUUAAUAGAAAUAGAAGAAAGAUUCAGAAAGAAUGAGGAAUUAAUGGAGGGGAUAGAAGAAGAAUUCAAUAGAAGAAGGGGAGGGAUGCGCCAUAAGCCACCAAAAUAAUUAUUCAUUCAUCAUCAACUGAAAGUUACAAUGCAAAAUAGGUUUAAAUAGUAAAGCAACCCUAACGAGUUUGGGCUCGAGUCCAUACAAGUCCAAAUUUAAAUAAUAGUCCAAGAAAAUAAAUAAAGCUUAAAUAAAAUAAGUAAACGUCGUCCGAUGUCCUCAUCAACUCUGUUGGGGUGGGAGAAAAACUCGACCCUAUCGAGUUGAUAGAUAUUAUAGGCUGCAAUCAAUCUAAUACUCCAAAUGCUUCAAGUCAAGCCACUGGGGACAAUCUUAAUGACGAACCAAGUAACGAAAUUCCAUAAUUGAUAGUACUGAAAACUGUAGCUUAUUCCCAAGAAUAUGAUCUGACCAAGGGGGCCGAUCUUUCCUUCUAACCAAGUACUGAUACUGGACUUCAAAUAACCAAUACUCAUGCACAACAUUUUCACAUGAUUGUACAUAAUGAGGAGUAUAAGAAGUACGUCGAUCUACCCAACAAACAAGAAAGUACUGAAUUUUGCCAUCAUUGGUCAAUACAACACGUUCAUCUAAAAUAACAUCAAUUUUAUCUUUGUGUGCUGUGAUAGAUGAUAUUAAAGUAGAAAUAUCUAUAUAGUCAAAUUGGGGGUCCACAAAGUUAGGUAGAAAUGGAUCAUCAAAGGAAGUAAUACGGUAUUUGUAAGUAAUGAAGUCCUCAAUAUUUAAAGCAGAGUGGUAGCUAAAAUGUGAUGAAAGGGCAAUGACAUGUGCAUUUGAACCAACAUGCUUUAAAAUUUUUAAAGGACCAGCACUACAAGCUUGCAAUAAGACAUAAUCCCCAAUAUUAAAUUCAAAAUAUCGUUUAUGCAAAUCAGCUUGAAGUUUAUAUAAUGCAUUACUUGUGUCAUGUUGUUUAUUGAUCUCAAUAUGCAAGUCAUGAAGAUGAUAUACAAAUGCUUCAGCUGACAACAACACACUAGCAUGCGGGGACAUGAGAAUAAGAUCUAACGGUCGCCUAGACUUAUAAUUAUGAACAACUUCAAAUGGAUUUAGACCUAGAGACCGAUUCAUAGAAUUGUUAGAUGCGAUGUGAACAGUUGGGGGGAUCGAGUCCCAAUUCUCAAGAUUUUUCUGGACUAGAGACUGUAAUAAAUUGCCAAGACUUCGGUUAGCAAUUUCGUUUUGACCAUUAGUUUGAGGUUGGUCAAUAGUGGAGAAUUUCGAUUUAGUACUAAGAACAAGCGACUGGAUUUUCCAAGGGUGACUAGUGAAAUCAUCAAACUCUUUGAGUGGGGUAAGGGUAUGACAUAUAACAUGUAAUCGAGAGUUGUCGGAAACAAGGGGUAUAGUUUCUAAAGUCUCGGGAAGGGUCGGGAUUCUACUUAAGGAAGUGUCCUCACUAUAAUCAUCAAAAUCUUCAAGUUUAGGGCCAUACGCUAGAUCUUCUAACGACUCUUCUAUUGCAUUCUUUUGUUCUUCUAUGACUAAGGCUCGGUUAGGACAUUUGGAAGAGAUGUGGCCAAAAUCCUUACAGCUGAUGCAUAGCAAGUGAGAAGUCUUUGGAGUUUCACAAAUUAUACCCUUAUUUUCCAAAAUUGGAGGAACAUUAGAUGGGGGAGGUCCUAGAAGGGACUUAACAGGAGGAAGUGGAGCCAUAUUAGACGGGGGAGGUCCUAGAAGGGACUUAACAGGAGGAAAUGGAGCCAGUGAAACCGAAAGAUGAUUGCCAUUACGCUUUCUACAUGAAGAAGAAGAUCUUGGACUAUCACGACCUUUACAAUUAUUUUUCCAAAUAGGAGGAACAUUAGACGGAGAAGGUUUUAUGAUAGACUUAUGAUGAGGCGACGCUAAUGAGAUGGAUGAACGACGAUGACCACGCUUUUCAUAUGGAGUACUAAUAAUCAACUCAUAAUCUUGAGUUAAAGAGUAAGCAUGAUCAAGAGUAGUGACACCUCGAAGGAAAAGCUCGCGCUUAAGAUCAUCUCUCAGACCUUGGCUAAACCUACUCAAAGUCAUACUUUCAUCCUUAAUUAAAUGACAUUUGGUUUGAAAUUCCUCAAAUUGCGCGAUAUACUCACUCACUAAUUGAUUUUCUUGUUUAAGGGCAUUCCAUUGAGUAAGAAUUUCAAAAUUAUCUCGUUCUCGCUUACGAAUCUGAUCCUUAUUCCUACGAUCGCGUCGAAAAUAUUUUUGAUCACUUUGUCCACGAUGAUAUUGUCUACUAUGAGACGCUUCAGAAUUAGUGUCAGUUAAACGAGAGGUUCGCUUAAAAUUGCUUAACUUAGCAACUAGGUUCUUUCUCUCCUCACGAGUAGCAGUUAUAUCUGAUUGGACAGUCGAUAGGCUAGUGGCAAGUUGCGCUAAUUGUCUAGUGAGUGCAUCAAAUUGGGAUGGAUCCAUGGUCAAUGUAUUGGAAAUAGAGAUGACAAGACGACCGCUAUGCAACUACAUGCAAUAUAAUACUAGCUAAAUGACGUGUUAUGAUGAGAUCAGUGAACAAUACGUGCAAGUAAUGGAAAAUAACUUGUACCAUUUUUUUUAAUUUAAUUUUAAAUAUUGGGAUUAAUUAAAUCCAAAACAAGCUAAUACUGCUAGUACAUGUAAAAUGGUAAAACAAGGGUCAACAUUAGUCAAAUUCUCCAAUCAAUUUAAGUGGGGAACAAUGGAAGUCAUUUCGGUUACUAGUGUUAAUUCGAUUAAUGGUUUUGAUCAAGUGAGAUUUAAGGCUAAAAUUAUCAUAAUAACAGCGGCAUAAGAUUUUAAUUGAUGCAAUUUUAAAAAUGAAGCAGUAGUAUAAACCAAUACUAAAUAGAGAUCAAGGACUCCCUGUUGUUUAGUUUUGAUUAUUUGUAUGCCGCUUGACCUGAAUUGCCGACUUAUAAGCCUCAACUAUACUUCUGUUCUUCCAUUCGUGUCCAAUGGUUUUAACCUCUGCUGACUGUAACUUGUGCUGGCUCUGGUGUGGACGUAAAAUUGAGUGUGGUGAUUGUGACUUUUAGAUUGUUGAGAUGGACGAGGAAAUAUAUGAGUGUGGUAACUGUGGUGGAAGUGUAUGAUCUUUGGUUGGUGGUGGUGGUCUAUGGCAAUGAAGCGGCAGUGCUCUAGAUGCCUGGGUAUAAUAGAUAAUGAAGUAGUAGCGUGAUGGUGAUUAAAGGCGAUGACAGCAAGAGAGUGGUUGUGAGAGAGGAAUCGAGUGAAACUGUGGGGUAUUUGAUGUUAAUGGAUUGGUUAUAAUCGGGUUUGGUCGGAUAUUUGGGACUAGGCCAGAUGGGAAGGGGUUUGGAUCCUGUUAUAGAGAUGGGCCAGCUGGGGUUAGUGUUUGGAGAGUGGGCCUGGGUCGUAAAGAGUAGGCUGGGUUAGUUGGGCUAAAUUGGCUUGAAUGUUAGGGUUUGGGAUUUGUGGAACAACACCACAAUUUUUAUUUUUUUUUUUUAGCAGCAGCAAAAAAAAAAAAAAAAAAAACGAGAAAUAUAUAUUUUUUUUUUGGGCGUGAACAGUAACUUUUUUUUUAUAAGAAACUGACCAAAAUACUAAAUUGAAAUUCUGUGUGAACAGUACCCGAGAUGAACAGUACUUUUUUUUUUUUCAACUAAGACUCAAAAUUGAAGAAGAAGAAAAAAACUGCUGCCUUUACCAAAAAAUUUUUUAGUUCGUGCUGUUCCAACAGAUUUUGGGAAGGAAAUAUGAAUAAAUUUUGGAUUAAAGAAAAGAGAUUACCCAUGAUUCGGCUCUGAUACCAAAUUUGAUGCAGCACCAAUAGGAUGAUUAAUAGAAAUAGAAGAAAGAUUCAGAAGGAAUGAGAAAUUAAUGGAGGGGAUAGAAGAAGAAUUCAAUAGAAAAAGGGGAGGGAUGCGCCAUAAGCCACCAAAAUAAUUAUUUAUUCAUCAUCAACUGAAAGUUACAAUGCAAAAUAGGUUUAAAUAGUAAAGCAACCCUAACGAGUUUGGGCCCGAGCCCAUACAAGUCCAAAUUUAAAUAAUAGUCCAAGAAAAUAAUUAAAGUUUAAAUAAAAUAAGUAAACGUCGUCCGAUGUCCUCAUCAAUCACAAAGCAACUUUUGUUGUUAUCUAUGGUUUUCUUUAGAAAAAAAUGCUUGACCUCUUGUAAUUGACUUCUGGAGAAAAUCAAGAAUAUAAACAAGAUUUAUUUUAGUAAUAAUUUUAAGAAGUUAUUCUGUUUUAAAAUGAUGUAUCUGCAACAGGCUGCAGCAGAAGCAGAACCUGCAACUAUGUCAAUGGUGAGACGAGCGAUACCUUAUGCUUCUUCGCUUGAUGAAGCAAAUCAAAUAGUCCGUGGAAAUUGGCUUCAGGCUAUCGAAAGUCAUCAUCAGAAACAUUCAGGAAACUCCUCAAUUAGUGACAUUAUUGACAUUGGAUGCUCUGUUGGAGUGAGCACAAACUUUCUUGCUGACAAAUUUCCAUCUGCCAAAAUUACUGUAAGUAUGAAUUAUGUGUAUACCAUUUCAAGCAUGCCACAAUUUCUGUAGAUAUUGGACUGCUGGCAACAAUAAGGAUUAACGUAAUGGGCAAACUCAAUGAAUUGUAGUUCUCGUAUUAGACAUGAUUUCAUUGUUGGUGCUUUACCCAGAUUUCUGUGUGAUGUCCAUCCUGGGUCAUACUUAUUGGUCUUUGGUCUGCAUCUUCUGCAGGGACUGGAUUUAUCACCUUACUUUCUUGCUGUUGCUCAAUUUAAGGAAAAGAGAAGCAACCAGAGAAAAGAUCCAAUCAGGUGGAUACAUGGAAAUGGUGAAAACACAGGCUUGCCUUCAAAAUCUUUUGACCUUGUCUCAGUUGCUUAUGUGGUAUGUUGUGUUUUCUUGAAAACUUAAAAACUAAAUUACAUUUGUAAUUAGCUUUCAAGAGAAACUAAAUGCAGAUAUGACUAAUACAAGAACCCCCCCCCCCCCCCCCCAAAAAAAAAAAAAUUGUAUUAUUAUUUUUAUAUGAAACACAUCAAUUUUUCUUUUGUUGAGUGAUGAUGGGAUUGAAAGGAUAUGAACAUAGAAAAGAUAUGAAAUAAGAGAUGAUUUAAUUUUCUAUUAUUGAAACGUAAUCCUGCUUAUAGUUUUUUUGCCCAAUCCAUGCUAACUUUGGAUAGAAAAUUCUUCCUAUGGCAAUUCGUUGAAAAUCAUAUUCUCACGUCCACUAACAUGGCUAUUUCCUUGAAUAAAUUCAGGAAAUGAGUAUAGUGCAGAGAAUCUUAUUACACUAGUAAGGGAAGAUUUACAUCAAUAUAAAUCUUGUGAUAUUCAUGUUUUGACUUUUACUAUUGGCGCUUCGGUAAUUGGCUAAUUUGGAAGCUAGAAUAUCUCGUACAGUAAGAAAAUAUGCCAUACUAAAAGUUUCUCCUUGGUCAGAGUAUGAACUCCAUCUGAAGAAUAACGGAAAGGAAACUUCCCUAUCAGGAUAUGGUCAAGCUUUCCAUAUUAUUUUGAUGGACUUGUGGAAAAAAGAUAUUUUGCGUGCAUGUUAUCAUUUACAUGGUUUGAUCCGUCUCAAAACAAAAGAAGUGGAUAAAUUGCUAUAAUUGAGUUAAAAAAAAGAAGAAGAAAAAAAGAAAAAACAACUUGUAAAAGUAGUUAUAGUACUUGUCUUUCCUUGAGUGGUAAAGGUAGGACGUCAACCUUAUAUGUUAACACAAGGGGUUGAAGUCUAAAAUAGGGAAGAAAACAGGCUCUACUUAUAAUUUUUUCCAACUCCAUGUAUUUAUUGCUAGUGGUUGGCUAUGAGAUCUUAUGGAACAACGUUCGUAGCUUGAUUCUUGGCAGCUUUUGGAGACCUUUUUUAAAGCAUGUAUUCCUUUCCCUGACUCUGUUGUGCUGUUGCAGUUUCACGAGUGCCCUGAAAGAGCAAUUAAAAAUAUAGUGAAGGAAGCAUUUCGGCUUCUUCGACCUGGAGGCACUUUUGCUGUGACUGAUAACUCGGUAAAUAGCUUUAG